rnacentral:rRNA from 1 species
CCUUGUACACACCGCCCGUCAAGCCACGGAAGUUGACAGUACCCGAAGUCGUGCACCCAACCGCAAGGAGGGAAGCGCCUACGGUAAAGGUCGAUGACUGGGACU